UUUUUUUCUUAUUUUUUAAAACCAGUCGGGUCGAAGCCGCACGGCAGGCAGCUAAUGCGCACCCACUGCUGUCCCAGGAUGGCGGAGCUGAGACGUGACCCCCCACCCGGGCAUCGGCCAGCCCACACGUGCGUGCCACGCUUGGCACACGAAGGCUGCCUCCACGUGCCACGCGGCCUCUGUGUGUGCCCGGCCCGCACCUCCUCUUGCAAAGAGUGUUCUGGUUCCUCUCACGUGAGCCCGAGUGAUUCCGGUGGAUCCUCCCCCCGACCCCCAACGUGCUCCAGUGACCCCGGCCCGGCCCGUGAGCGUCCACCCGGGCCCCCCUGCCCGCCUCUUUCUCUCGCAGGUGCACUGCUGCUGCCCUGGUGCAGCUGCCACCUUAGCCCGGCCUGGGGGGGGGGCCCGGCCCAGAUGGAGCCGCCCAGAGGAAAGGAGCCGCCAGGUGUAGGCCCUACACACUUCUGGGCACCUAGUUUGAGGUUCCGGACCCGGCCCGAAGGUCAGACCUCUCGGCCCUGAGCCACUAAGUUCCCUUCUGAGGUGGGUUCGUACCCCCGGCGACACUGAGCCUGGACGCAGGAGCUGCGGUGGACCCGUCCCUCCCCGGGCGGCCCUGCCGCGCAGCCUCUGCCCCUUGUCCCUGGGGUCCAGCCCCGGGCAGCGCGGUGUGUGUGGCGGUGAAGGGCAGCAGGCCGCAGGCACGCACCCCCGUGAGCGGGAGUCGCAAGGCAAGUCCAGGAAGGAAGACGCCCGGCAGGGCCGCCACGUACCGAGCCGGUCACCGAGACUGCUGGAGGAGACUGAUCAGAUCUCUGGCAACAGAAGGUACGUCGGGGGGGUGGGGACAGGACCCCAGGCUUUGGGGGCUGCAGUGGAGGCCCAUCGAGGCAGGAGAGCACAGGGGGCUGAGUGCAGGGGCCCAGGGAAGGAACACGGGACGGGGGCUCCCCUGGAAGGGGGGAGCUGAGUCCUCCUCUUGCGGGGUGGCCGCGGAGAGCCCACAGCCCUGGCUUCACCACCUCACUGUGAGCCUCCCCCCGACGCACGUGUGCACCCCAGGGGCCAGACCCUGUCACCCCCCCCAGCACCCCUGCCCUCCCUCAGCCUCCCCUGCCCCGCUCAGCCCACACUAGGCCACCUCCCCAAGCCAUGAUAGUGAAUUGGGUCUGUGUGCUGGGGGGCGGGGACGGGGGUGUGUGUCUAUGUGAGGGGGUGUGUGUGUGCACCUGCGUGAGCAUGCACGUCACCGUGUGCACGUGUGCCUCGUGUGUGCGUGUGCCUGCAGGUAUGAGGGAGCCUGCACAGGCGAGUGUGUGCACGUGUGCCCGGUGUGUCCCCAGCAGUAAGCGCUGAGGCCUGGACAGAACCAAGCAGCAGCGACACGCAGAAGCGCCCGGGACCCAGCUGCCUGCGGUGCGAGCGGCGCCACUGUCCAAGCGGCUCCGAGAGUGGCCGCGCUUCCCCAGAAGGUGGGGGGCGGGGGGGCGGAUGACGGGCCGGCUGCACCCCGAGAUCACACCCGCCUUCCCCAGCGGCCACGGAGCUCUUCAGAGGCUGCGAAGUAGCAGGAGGGGAGCUGCCCCACCCACAGGCGCCCACGCCGUCCCCGUGGCACAGGACAAGCCGCCUUGCUCACCGUCGCUCACUGUCCACGUGCCAAGUGUUGGGGGCUGCGUAGAGCUUCUCAACAUCGUCCAAGAAAGAAUUUCUUUCAAAGAACAUUUUCUUGACUACAACGUACCGGGCAUUUCAGGGCCCUCGUAGGCAGGACGUGGCCCCGUGGGAGCCGGGACUGGGAUUCCCGAGCAAAGCCUCCAGGCCUCCGGCCGCUGAGCCAAGACGCCUCCCGCCGCGUGGACGGUCGCGGAACCACGGGAGGCAGAUGUGGAAGGGGCGGCGCGGGGAGGGGGGGGGGGGGGGGGGGGGCAGGCCGCCGUCUCCCUGUGCGAGCUCGAGACGCUCCGCCAGAAGAAGCGUAGCCUGGAGCCGUGGGACGCGCGGCCUUCGUGCAGGGCCCUGGGGCCCGGGUGCUGACGCGCGUCCCUCCGUUGCCCUCCUUCGGGCGCCGAGGCGCACAGGUUGUACUUGGGAGGCCGAGGUCGAGAGGCCCGUCCCCGACUCCUGCUUGGGUUCGCGGAGGCCCGCCUUCACCCACGUCCCCCAGCUUCCUCCCCGGGUGCCCAAGGUCGGCGUUGGCCGGGCGCACAAGAGCACGGCGCUGGGACGACCCCGACAAGGGACCCCACGGCCAGGUGCCAGGGCUGAGGGGCACCGUGAGGACACAUGGCGGGGCCCGGGUCAGCGAGUACGGAGGGCCGGGCCCACGGGCAAGGUGAGGCCGCGGGGGCUGCGCCGGGAGCCCCCGGGGACAUCAGGGCUUUUCAAGAGGGACGGAGUCCGCAGCCUGGGGGGACCCUGGCAGCACCAGGGCUGCCACGAGGGAGCCAGAUCCGCCGAUGGGGGGUGCGCAGAGCAGCUGGUGACGCGGAGCAGGGGCAGGCUGGCCCCGCAGACCCUCUGAGCGCAGGGGACAGGGUCAGACCCUCACACCCCCUCCGGGUGGGGGGCUCCCACCUCGCUGCCCCUGAUCCCUGAAAGCCUCGCCUGAGGCAAGAUCCUCAGGCCCCCAGGAAGCCACACAGCAGAGCCCGGAACCACCUGCAGGAGCCAAGGCGGCUUCCACCCCUAGUGGCCCAGGCUCUGCCCGGGGAGGGACCCCAUGUGGAAGAGGCGGGCCCAGGACCCACAGCCCCCUGGAUGCCAACCCAGCCCGGCUGGGCCACGGGCACGGGCCUCAGGCCCCUGACAGGCCCGGCCCCAGGGGGACACGGGCCCAGAGACCAUGACAAGCAGAGUGUGAGGCCCCCUGGGUGAACCCACGUCCCUGUGCCCCUUCCAGGCCCCUGGCGUGGUGUUCGCCCAGCUGGGCCCUGGCUCCCCGUGGACACCUGCUCCAGAAAUUGGCGCUAGCUUGUGGGCACAUGCAGCUAAAGCCGUGCAGGCUGCCGGGGGCCUGACCAGACUGCCCCGCAGUAAACCUCCGGACCAGGAGCGCAGCCCAGGCGGCCGGGGCUCAGGCCCGGGCCUCCCUCUGCUCGUUGGCCUCCUCCCAUCCCUCGCAGCUCGGUGAGAGCUGGAGCUGGGCCUCGCUGGGCGAGCGGCUUCCCCGGGCGCCCCCGCGUUCCUUCAUCAAGCAUCUCGUAACUGCUAGGACCAGGAGCAGAACAGGGGCCCCGGGCGUGUUCUAGGCCUUUCCGCGCACACGGUGCCCAGCGCGUGCCUCUGCUGCUCCCUCUGCACUCGGCCUGGCCCAGGGCUGGCGGACGGGGCCUCAGGGCAGCCUCCCAGAGGGCCGCGUUCAUACGGCCCACGAGCUGGGAAUGGCUUUUAUAUUUUUGCAUGACCGAGGGUGAGAAAACCCAAAGGAAGGGCCGUGUUUCAGGACGACUAAAAUCACGCAACUCGGCUCCCAGCGUCCACAGCUCCUCUGGAGCCCACGGAGCCCGCCGUUCACGUGCCGCCCGGGGCUGCUUCCUGGGGCCGCCCCGCCCUUGGCCCCAUGAAGCUCGCCUGCUGCCCACCCGGCCCCCUCUGGGGUCUUUGGCCGCCUACCCCACGGCAUCUGUGUGGUCAGGCGCGGCAACGGGAGCGGAGUGGGCAGCCGGCCGGGGGCGGGGGGGCGCCGGGAACCGCUCCAAGGAGUCGGGAGCUGACGUCCAUGCUGCAGGUGGACGUGGGGGCCAGCCUUUCAGCUAGAGGGGAGCUGAGGCCGGGCGCAGGGGGCGGGCGGCUCUGGCCACCAUGGGGGUGGGUGCAAACUGUCCCCAGUCAACUGAAAAGCUGAUCGAUCGGCUUGUCGGGCAUGGACGGAGGUGAGGACCUGUCUCCCUGUCCUGAGGACGAGGGGUGUGCCCGCGCCCCCGCAGGUGCAGCAUUCCACACCGGCCCGAGAGCUGCCUCGGGCAGGAGGCAGGCAGGAGGGCGGGGGAGGGUGGGGGGCAGGGGGAGGCCGGCCUCGCCAGGUCCUCGGUGCGGGCGGGAUCCGAAGGCGGGCUCUUUGGCGGGUGCCCAGGAGAGAAGCCCCGGCUCUACCUCCUGUGUGUCCUGUGGCCCCGCAGCGGGUGGUCCCAGGGCCUGAGGUGGCUCAGGCGACUUCUGCACAAGCAGGUGCGGGGCCUUGGCGGGCCGUGUGCUGGGCCUCCCCGCGCGGCCACCAGGGCCAUGGACGCCUAGCUGGGAACGGCCUCCCGGGGCCAAGGUCACCUUCAAGGAGAAAGUGGAGCCAAGGUGGGGAGGCGUCUGUCCGGCAGGACAGGGGCUGCUGCCCAGACCCAGCUCACAUGGCCCCGCGAUGCGCUUCCCAGCAACACUCCGCUGUGCAAACACGGGCAGCUGGCGAGGGCUGUGGGCGCGGGCGGCCCCAGGGAGGGCACCUCUGAGGAAUCGCCCGGGAGGAGGGCAGGCGGGCCUCUGGGUCCCGGUCUCGGCGGGGGGUGGGGGUUCGCUUACUUGGGGCCGACCAGACGGCGCUGGGCCUCCCUGUGGCCUCCGCGUGGCCGCCGUGUCCUCCGGCCUGGCUGA
rnacentral:lncRNA from 1 species